rnacentral:rRNA from 1 species
GUGGGGAAUAUUGCACAAUGGGCGAAAGCCUGAUGCAGCGACGCCGCGUGGGGGAUGACGGCCUUCGGGUUGUAAACCCCUUUCAGUAGGGAAGAAGCGAGAGUGACGGUACCUGCAGAAGAAGCGCCGGCUAACUACGUGCCAGCAGCCGCGGUAAUACGUAGGGCGCAAGCGUUGUCCGGAAUUAUUGGGCGUAAAGAGCUUGUAGGUGGCUUGUCGCGUCUGCCGUGAAAACCCGAGGCUCAACCUCGGGCGUGCGGUGGGUACGGGCAGGCUAGAGUGUGGUAGGGGAGACUGGAACUCCUGGUGUAGCGGUGAAAUGCGCAGAUAUCAGGAAGAACACCGAUGGCGAAGGCAGGUCUCUGGGCCAUUACUGACACUGAGAAGCGAAAGCAUGGGUAGCGAACAGGAUUAGAAACCCCAGUAGUCC